rnacentral:rRNA from 1 species
CAUUAAGUGUUGUGAGGCCCCCUAUAGACCAUGGGGUUGAUAGGCCAGACGUGGAAGCCUAGUAAUGGGUGGAGCUGACUGGUACUAAUUGGCCGACCACUUAAAAAAC